CACAAAAUAACUGAUGAUAGGAUCCAGGCUCUUGACUGGAGGUAAUACCUUCAUUUUGGGAGCAGACCAGCAUCGUUCGAUGAACGUGUGUGAAACCAGAUGAGGCUUCAUCUCUUUACAGAGGGUAAACGUUAUGGCCUGUCGUCUCCAAAAGGAUACUGAAGAACUGGAAAAUGUUCAAAGAGGACAACAAGCAUGAUCAAAGACUUGGAGGAUGGCCACUGCAAGGAACUAGGUAGGCUCUGAUGCUUCAGCCUGUCUAAGGGAUAGGUACCAACUGUUUGCUGUCUCAUCCCAUGCAGGAACCUGGUUAAUCGAAUCUAACUAGCUGGAGCCACGUUCCCAGUGAACGAACGGAGGUGGUUUUCCGUGCCCUGGCUAAGCGCAACUGCUAGGUAAAGGAUGUUGUGGAUGCAAAACAGUUCUGGCUCAAGAGAGGAGAAAUACUUAACAGAGAACUCCGUUGAGGGUUACUGAAUAGAUAGACCACAUCAGGCUGAAGAAAAUCCCUAAGUUAAAAGUGUUUGGAGGCUGGGACAGUACUCCAGGCAGCAUGGGCUAAAUGAAGCUUUGGUGUGAGCCACUACAGUUGUGUUCUUAUGAGGCCUUUUGUGCUCCAUUCUUGGUUUAGAUGGACCUUUCUUUUAGUAUCCUUCAGCUUAGGCCCUAUGGAGUGCCACUACAGGAUUGCUCAGAAAAGGAAGCAUGUUGUUAGGCUUGUGCUUGCUACAAAGGACCCAGUGUUUCUGCUAGAAAAUACACAGGGCUCUGCAAAUCCUAAAGAAAGUCUGAAAGCCGCUUGUUCUGCUGCGGCUCUCUCUCAAGAAGCGUUCCUGUUGCACUUGUUCUUAGACAUAGUAAGCGCUCCUUAACAAGGAGCCGGCAUAACGAACUGCUCUGCUAAGGCCUGCUUGAAGCUGCCCAACCCCAUCAGCAUUUCACAGCAGGUGAUAAUGCACAAGUCCAGCACAGAGCAAUUUACAAACAAUCUUUUAAUGCAACUGCAAUGUCAGUGACUAUGCCGGAGUUGAGGAAGGCAGGAGAAAAUGAGUAAGUACUCUCUACCUAACUGGCAGAAAGCACUGAUAAGGGGCAGAAAUAGAUUCAUGGAGCAAGGUGAUGCCAUGACUAUUGGAAACAACUCUUGAUUUGACUGCUUGGUAGAUGCCAAAAUCCUGGACUACUUUUAGCAGAAAUUUCUUCGCUUUCAGCCCCAUGCUGACCAAUACAAGCAAGCCCGCUACUAAACAUGCUAAUAAACUUGUUAUUGUUGUU